AAGAUUAAUGUGUUGUCUUUUGAACAACAAACACAGGUUCUCAAGUACACCUUAAUAAAUUGAUCUAGAGAUGGAAUGAAACAUCAUGUCUUGGGAUUUAAAUAGUUUUAUGUGGCCUCGCUAUGACUAUCCAGGGGUUUAUGGUGACCUUCCUCUACUUAGGAUCACUUUACUAAUACGUAGCUGGUUGAUCUUUUAGUUUUGAGAUAUUACAUCUGACAUUGCUGUUCUGAGUUCUUACUUGUUUGCCUUUUGAUAUCUUUUUUGCUGAUCACUCUGUGGGGCUCUUCAAAUUAUACAUCUGAAGCAAAUGGUUUCUUGAGAAAAUUGGUCAUGAAGGUCUGAAUAAUUUAUUGAUGGCCUAUGAAGAUAAAUCAGCAUAUGCUUUAUGUGUAUUCUCUCUUGCCCUCGGACCAAGUGCAGAUCCUAUCACUUUUGUGGGUAAAACUAUGAGGUUGUUGUGGUGUCCUGAGGAGCAGGUUUUGAAUCAAUCUGAUGGUGAUGAUGUUUUUAGGGUUUGACAAUGAUGAUGAAGCUAUUGCAAGGAUGGAGGAAUCACCAUCAGGCAAAAGGGUGACAUGCAUAUUUCUUCAGUUUAGAUUUAUAACUCUUACCUGUUCUUCACGGAACUUUUUGUAGAAUACUAAUUAAGGUGUCGUAAAGGCAUAUGAGAUUUUUUUUGCAAUUAUUAGCUAGUUGUUUAUA